UUCUAGAGAGUUCCGCAGCGAGGGAAUUAGUGUCGUCCUCUCGGCAACGAAGCUCUCACGCAAUAGGAGAGGAGCAAAGGGGAAAAGCCUGAGGAGGUCGAAACCCUUGCAACCGUGCGAUUUUGUUCGAGGGUUCCGUUCGCUUUUUGGUGAUCUUUCGAGUCGGGUUGUGGGGAUUCGCCAGAGAUGGCUGGUUUCUCGACGGGGAGGGCGAAGAGGAAAGAGCCUGAAGAGGUUUACGACGAUUUCUCGUACUUUUCGCUGUCGUCUCCGGCUACGAAGAUCAGGAGAUUGGAUGCCGAUAUGCUUCCUAUGAUAGAAGAGAAUGAGGCAACAGCUAUGACAAGAUUUAAACAACAGCUGCCAAUAGAACAAAUUAGCACAAGCACCUAUGGGAUGCCAGAUAUCAGACCUGUAACAGUUCAUAGUAUAGCUGCAUGCCUGCCAAAUGAGAAGGGAGCUUUUGUUUAUGAUUCCGCCGAGGCCACACCAUUUUUGUCACCUGUUGGACCAAAUGUUUCUUUUAGAGUGAGCUCGGAUUUGAUCCGUGGUAUCAAAAAUUACUCUUGGAGAACUCUUAUGACAAUAUUUUUUUCUUACUGAUGAUGUGCUAUCAGACACUUUAUCAAAUCAUGUCUUCAAGCUGCAGGAUCAAACUAUGGCUAAGAUGGAUGACAAAAUACCAGUGUCCAAUAACUGCUUAGCUCUGGUUCCCUGGGUGCCGCCCCAGGCUACCGUCCAUGCUUAUGAGUACGCUGGCUCGCAAUCCGGGAGCCAGUCGUCGCAGGAGCCAAUGGAAGCUGAAGAAGCUGGAGCAGCACCCAUGGCAGUCGAAGAAAACAGAGAACAAACGGUUAGUGGAAUCGACGUUGAUGUGAUCCAGCAGUGGCAGCAGCACUGUCUGGCUCCCAAGUUCCUUCGUCACACGCCCAGUCGUCUGAUGUCGUAACAGUUUGAAGGAAGAGAGCAGUCGAUCAUUUUCCUUUUGAUUGCAUUCCUACCAUGUCUUGUCGAAUGCAGAAAAUCGUCAUUCUGUUUUGAUUUCUUUUGAGUAGCAGCUCAAUCUGGUACAUUACUUGAGCAAACGUAUAUGCUUACAAAUUAACUGUAUAUGCUUACUAAUUUUGAUCUA